UACGGAGGGGGCUAGCGUUGUUCGGAAUUCUGGGCGUAAAGCGCACGUAGGCGGCUUUGUAAGUUAGAGGUGAAAGCCCGGGGCUCAACUCCGGAAUUGCCUUUAAGACUGCAUCGCUAGAAUUGUGGAGAGGUAAGUGGAAUUCCGAGUGUAGAGGUGAAAUUCGUAGAUAUUCGGAAGAACACCAGUGGCGAAGGCGGCUAACUGGCCCA
rnacentral:rRNA from 1 species